AUGAGAAUAUAUUGUAUUACAAGAAUCACACAUCUAUUUUGAGGAGAAACAGACAUGGAAUCACAUUCAGCCAGGUGGAACGGUUUUGAGUUCUACAAGGAUUAGGCACUGGUUUAGUUCAGGCAAUGGGAAAAAAAGCUAUUUUUCAAAAUGCACGUACCUUAUGAAAGUGCUGUACAGCCAUGGACUGAAACAACUGAAAUAUCAUCAUUCACAAAAUGGAUCCAUUCACCACGUUUCUGUUUUUACACUGCAGGUUUUUGAAAAAGUGAAUCAGGUACCUCAAAACUCUGCAACUCUUUGAAAAAGCUGAUUGAAGGUAAACAAAUUAACAAGUGCAGGUAAUGAAAAUAACAGAAUUGUAUUGAUGUUUGAUUUUAUAAAAUGUUUGUCUUGAGCAAAUUGAGGGAUAGUACAAAUGCUUAGAGGUUAGUGCAGAGCCUGAAUUACUACUCAAUUGUUCCAAAGAAGAGCCUGUUAUAGUAACUGGUGAUUGUAAAUAGUAGGGUGUAAAUGAAUGGGCUCUGCAAAUAACCAGCAAUCCAAGGCUGAUUCCUUCAUUGAAAUCCAAACCUAGAGGACACUCUUCAAUCUGCUGAGAACCUGUGGGUUCAGAAAAUAAUGGAAUGAAUAAGAUGCUUUAAAACAUUUUUACUUUCUUCUUCUUCUUCUUUUCCUCCUUUCUAUUGUGUUCCCUCACAUCUCAUGAGGCAUAGGCUCAGUUUCUUGGGUAUGACACUGUCUGUGUUGAGCCUGCAUGUUCCCCUAAUGUAUUUUUUUUUCUGACCUAUCCCAAAGAUGUGUUAGUUAUAUAAAUGGUGAUGCUUAAUUUGUUCAGUUUUAAUGAGUAUGUAUGUGAAUAUGUACAGUAAUGGACUGACAUGAUAUCUAAUGUUACCAGCUAAGACU